UUCCUGCAGGGUGCAUGGGCUCACACAGGUUGUAGAUCUCCUGUGCACCUCCAUACACUUGUGUGAACAGCCAGGGCUGCCCCUGGAAGGAAGGAGAACAGGGCAAUUCAAUCAGAGAGGCCACCAUGACAGUUGUGCUGUUGGCAUGUUUCACAGGACCCUUAGGAUAGUGUUAAAGACAGAAGUUUUUCAAUUAAAUUUCAAUUAUUCUUGGAAAAGAGGAAGGAUUUUCAGAAUUUUAAGCUGGAAAGUGACAUGGUCAGGUUUGCAUUGUAGAAGGAGCAAACCACUCUGUGGAGAAUAGACUAGAGGGGGUGAGACCAGAGGUAGGAAUUCUAGUGGGAAGGUCAGAACUAGACCAGUAGGCUUCACCCUCCCACGUCCACAUGCUGGCCACAGCCUCCUCAUGAGAGAGUGUACUCACCUAGGCCUGGCCUUUGGGCUUGGUCUUGUGACUUACUUUGGUCAAUGGAAUGGGGCAGAAGUGACUGGAUACCAAUUCUGAGACUUGACCUUAAGAAGCCUCACAUGUUUCUGCUUGCCCUGCUGUAUCUCUGCCAUCACCAGGAAGAGGAUGUGCCAGGUAGCCCGCUGACCCUGGAGGACGAGAGACGUGUGGAGCAGAGCCACUCUUCCUACUUGCAGACUCACAAGCCAGCCCAGCUGAGGCCAGCCAGGCUGCAGAGCCACGAGGAAGCACUGCCUGCUGCUGUAAGCUGCUUGUUAGGCAGCAUCGCUGUGGCAGCCGGUAGCUGAUACAGUGAGACGCGAGGAGUGACCAAGCCGAGGAGCACUGAGGAGAGCAGAUGGAGUUAGUGGUCAGCUGGGUGUGUGGGUCUCAGAUCGAAAGUCACCUCUUCAAGGAGACCUUCACUGACCACCCGGAAUGAAGUCCCCCACCUGCAUCCUUUCUACCAACUCACCUGCCUGACUUCCUUCACCUCACUCACAACUGUCCUCUGGCAGAACUCCAGGAGAGUCUCCAGCUCAGGGCUUGGCCGAGCAAGGAUGGGCCACAUGAGCCAGCCCAGCAGCAGACUGGCACAUGCUGUGUUGGCAGCAUCUUCGUUGCUCACUCAGGAGCCCCAGGACUCAGGCUUGCCCUUCCCUUCCUUCCCCAAACGCUUUCUGAGCACUGCACUGAAUGCAGUGGGGCCGCCUUUGGAGCACAGGAGCCCAGCUACACUCCACCUUGUGAC